GGGGGGGGCGGGGUCCUAUACUGCAAGUCGAGCGGACAGAUGGGAGCUUGCUCCCUGAUGUUAGCGGCGGACGGGUGAGUAACACGUGGGUAACCUGCCUGUAAGACUGGGAUAACUCCGGGAAACCGGGGCUAAUACCGGAUGGUUGUUUGAACCGCAUGGUUCAAACAUAAAAGGUGGCUUCGGCUACCACUUACAGAUGGACCCGCGGCGCAUUAGCUAGUUGGUGAGGUAACGGCUCACCAAGGCAACGAUGCGUAGCCGACCUGAGAGGGUGAUCGGCCACACUGGGACUGAGACACGGCCCAGACUCCUACGGGAGGCAGCAGUAGGGAAUCUUCCGCAAUGGACGAAAGUCUGACGGAGCAACGCCGCGUGAGUGAUGAAGGUUUUCGGAUCGUAAAGCUCUGUUGUUAGGGAAGAACAAGUACCGUUCGAAUAGGGCGGUACCUUGACGGUACCUAACCAGAAAGCCACGGCUAACUACGUGCCAGCAGCCGCGGUAAUACGUAGGUGGCAAGCGUUGUCCGGAAUUAUUGGGCGUAAAGGGCUCGCAGGCGGUUUCUUAAGUCUGAUGUGAAAGCCCCCGGCUCAACCGGGGAGGGUCAUUGGAAACUGGGGAACUUGAGUGCAGAAGAGGAGAGUGAAAUUCCACGUGUAGCGGUGAAAUGCGUAUAGAUGUGGAGGAACACCAGUGGCGAAGGCGACUCUCUGGUCUGUAAUUGACGCUGAAGAGCGAAUGCGUGACGAGCGAACCGGAUUAGAUACCCUGGUAGUC
rnacentral:rRNA from 1 species